AGAUCUGCAGUCAGAGGGAUCAGAUGAUGACUCUUCUUAUGGGGAAGAUGCUGUUGUCAAAACCAAUCUUGUGAAGGAUUCCAGGGAUUUAAGAGGAAGAGUCCAGAACCAUGCAGUAUACCUGAAAAAAUCCGAAAGAAUGGAACAUAUGACAAGUUACUCAGGCUUACACUAAUGAACUGGUGGAACUUCAGAAGAGAUUGAUGGCACUUCGGGAACACAACGUACUUCAGCAGAUUGUUAAUCUAAUUGAAGAAACUGGCCAUUUUAAUGUGACCAACACAACUUUCUACUUUGAUCUUUUUUCUCUGGAUGAGAUGACCACCCGAAAGUUGCAGAGCUAUCUGGAUACAGUAGCAAUAUGACACCUCAAUGUAAAAGUGGGUUGUCUCUAAAAUUAAAAAUAAAAUUUCCCAAAAUACUGAACCAAAUUCCAAAAAGUUCCUUUCAAGUUUGCUUUUCCUGGAACACUGCACUGCCAUA